rnacentral:misc_RNA from 1 species
GAUGAAGAACGUAGCGAAAUGCGAUAAGUAGUGUGAAUUGCAGAAUUCAGUGAAUCAUCGAAUCUUUGAACGCACAUUGCGCCCGCCAGUAUUCUGGCGGGCAUGCCUGUUCGAGCGUCAUUUCAACCAUCAAGCCCCCGGCUUGUGUUGGGGACCUGCGGCUGCCGCAGGCCCUGAAAAGCAGUGGCGGGCUCGCUGUCACACCGAGCGUAGUAGCAUACAUCUCGCUCUGGGCGUGCUGCGGGUUCCGGCCGUGAAACCACCUUCAUAACCCAAGGUUGACCUCGGAUCAGGUAGGAAGACCCGCUGAACUUAAGCAUAUCAAUAAGCGGAGGA